rnacentral:lncRNA from 1 species
CAAGAAAUUUAUGAACAAUAGACAACGCCGGAUCCUUAAUGUACCCACUAGGCAUACCCGAACUAUCCCAAUUAUCACAGCCAGUCAAUUGAUUCCACACUUGAUUAACAUUUCAUCCCCGAGGUUUAUCAGAUAAUCCAAAAGUAGGGAAACCAAAAACAGCUUUCAUUCUAGCCAAACUAAUUUUAUACUCUCGCUCAUACAUCCUAGCUUUAAUCCAUUUCAUAUCACCACUCAUAACCACAGUAGUCAUGAACUCAUAACAUAGAGGAUCAUACCCAGAAAAUUCAAUAUCUCUAGCAUACUCUUUCAUCCCUAGAUUAUUCAAAUACAAAGCAACUUGCCG